rnacentral:rRNA from 1 species
UAGGGAAUAUUGGACAAUGGGGGCAACCCUGAUCCAGCCAUGCCGCGUGAGUGGAGAAGGCCCUCGGGUUGUAAAGCUCUUUUGUCCGGAAAGAAAAGCUUCGGGUUAAUACCCGGAUGUUCUGACGGUACCGGAAGAAUAAGCACCGGCUAACUUCGUGCCAGCAGCCGCGGUAAUACGUAGGGUGCGAGCGUUAAUCGGAAUUACUGGGCGUAAAGCGUGCGCAGGCGGUUAUGUAAGACAGAUGUGAAAUCCCCGGGCUCAACCUGGGAACUGCAUUUGUGACUGCAUGGCUAGAGUACGGUAGAGGGGGAUGGAAUUCCGCGUGUAGCGGUGAAAUGCGUAGAUAUGCGGAGGAACACCGAUGGCGAAGGCAAUCCCCUGGACCUGUACUGACGCUCAUGCACGAAAGCGUGGGGAGCAAACA